rnacentral:rRNA from 1 species
AUUGAACGCUGGCGGCAGGCCUAAUACAUGCAAGUCGAGCGAGCAACGAACGGGUGAGUACUGUCUGGUAAACUGCCUGUAGGCGGGGCAUAACUACUGGCAACCGUUGCUAAUCACGCACACAAUCCGCUGUGCGCAUAUGGGAUUAGAUAGUGGGUGGGGUAAUGGCUCACCAAGGCGACGAUCCCUAGCUGGUCUGAGAGGAUGACAAGCCACACUGGAACUGAGACACGGUCCAGACUCCUACGGGAGGCAGCAGUGGGGAAUAUUGCACAAUGGGCGCAAGCCUGAUGCAGCCAUGCCGCGUGUGUGAAGAAGGCCUUCGGGUUGUAAAGCACUUUCAGCGGGGAGGCGUUACCCGCAGAAGAAGCACCGGCUAACUCCGUGCCAACCGCCGCGGUAAUAC